CUGCACUGAGCAGCUGGUUGGAUUAGAUGACCUCUGGGGUUCCUCCCAAACCUUGUGGGACUUGAGGAGAAGGAGAGGUAAUUGAGUGUCAUCAGCACACUGAUGAUUCUGUACUCCUAAUUCUUUGAUGACCUCCCCAAGCGCUUUCAUGUACCCAUAGGGGACGGUUACAGAACCCUGCAGCACCCCACAGGAAAACUCCUGCAAGAA